ensembl:lncRNA
GCGUGGAAAGCCGGUCAUUUCGGUCCACGGGAUCCUCAUCACCACCCCCAACAAGUCCCCGACGCGGACCUCCGCCAGGUUCUACACACCCUCGCCGAGUCGGUGCAAAGCCUCGGCGCCAGGAUGGAUGCUGUCGAAACACCAGGCCGCAUUCCCGGACAGGUCCAGGCCCACCACCCGCCGUCGUUCAUCGCCACGGCGCCUUUUUCUUUCCAGCAACCAUCCGGCUCGGCUCCCUCCGCCUCCACAGGCUAUGCACCUGGCACGUGCUCUGGUACCACGGCUACUGCAGCCCCCGCGGUAGCCCCUUUCGCAUAUUCUCUCGCUACUGCUCUACCAGUCCAGCUCCAGGGAAUUCAGACGUCUAUGCCCCGCAGCGAAUACGGACCCAAUAAUCAGCCCACCCUUCCACACAACUCUCUCUUCCCUUACGCUUCCAUGCUCCUUUACCUCAAGCUCCGGCAACGCACGCCUCCCGAAUCACCUCUGUUUAUUUUGCCUAACGGCCGGCCAAAGACUACAGAGUGGUUCAGAGUCCAUCUCGCGAAGGUGGUAGAAGGGUGCGGCUUACCAUCUCCCCUCUACACUGGCCACUCCUUCCGGAUUGGAGCGGCAACUACAGCCGCUGAACAAGGGUUGCCGGACGCGUCUAUCAAACGGCUGGGAAGGUGGUCUUCCACAGCCUACGAAUCCUACAUCCGGUCGAAUUCAAGGUUCUUCCAUGAAGCGCACACGAUGCUCUCUAACGUCGGUCAAGGCAGGUUUAACACGUUUUCAACUGUAGCUGUUUCUGGCGGCCUGUUUCUAUUCCAGGGUUAGUCUGGUCUUAGUGUCAAGCUGUCAUUUUAGUCUAUUCGUUUUAGUUACGUCUAUAUUCUUUCUAGUGUUAUCGAAAUAUAUUUUACUAUGUAUUUAAUUACAGUUAUUGUCACACGCCCUGCAUGCACGUUGCGUCCCGUUUCGUUUUUAUCACGCGAUAAAGGUUUGUGAUGACGAUAUUUUGUCAUUAUUUUCGUUGCUAAAAGCAACACUAUUUGCAACUCCUGGUGGUGGUGGUUAUCAG